rnacentral:rRNA from 1 species
AUUGAACGCUGGCGGCAGGCCUAACACAUGCAAGUCGAACGGUAACAGGAAGACGCUUGCUUCUUUGCUGACGAGUGGCGGACGGGUGAGUAAUGUCUGGGAAACUGCCUGAUGGAGGGGGAUAACUACUGGAAACGGUAGCUAAUACCGCAUAACGUCGCAAGACCAAAGAGGGGGACCUUCGGGCCUCUUGCCAUCGGAUGUGCCCAGAUGGGAUUAGCUAGUAGGUGGGGUAACGGCUCACCUAGGCGACGAUCCCUAGCUGGUCUGAGAGGAUGACCAGCCACACUGCAACUGAGACACGGUCCAGACUCCUACGGGAGGCAGCAGUGGGGAAUAUUGCACAAUGGGCGCAAGCCUGAUGCAGCCAUGCCGCGUGUAUGAAGAAGGCCUUCGGGUUGUAAAGUACUUUCAGCGGGGAGGAAGGGAGUAAAGUUAAUACCUUUGCUCAUUGACGUUACCCGCAGAAGAAGCACCGGCUAACUCCGUG